rnacentral:rRNA from 1 species
ACAAGCGGCGGAGCAUGUGGAUUAAUUCGAUGCAACGCGAAGAACCUUACCUGGGUUGACAUACACCGGAAAACGUAGAGAUACGGUCCCCUUGUGGUCGGUGUACAGGUGGUGCAUGGCUGUCGUCAGCUCGUGUCGUGAGAUGUUGGGUUAAGUCCCGCAACGAGCGCAACCCUUGUCUUAUGUUGCCAGCACGUGAUGGUGGGGACUCGUAAGAGACUGCCGGGGUCAACUCGGAGGAAGGUGGGGACGACGUCAAGUCAUCAUGCCCCUUAUGUCCAGGGCUUCACACAUGCUACAAUGGCCAGUACAGAGGGCUGCGAGACCGUGAGGUGGAGCGAAUCCCUUAAAGCUAGUCUCAGUUCGGAUCGGGGUCUGCAACUCGACCCCGUGAAGUCGGAGUCGCUAGUAAUCGCAGAUCAGCAACGCCGCGGUGAAUACGUUCCCGGGCCUU